UAAUGCUUGGGAAUCUAGCUUAUGGAGGGGGAUAACUAUGGGAAACUGUAGCUAAUACCGCGUAGAAUCGAGAGAUGAAAGUGUGGGACCUUCGGGCCACAUGCCAUAGGAUGAGCCCAAGUGGGAUUAGGUAGUUGGUGAGGUAAAGGCUCACCAAGCCGACGAUCUCUAGCUGGUCUGAGAGGAUGACCAGCCACACUGGGACUGAGACACGGCCCAG
rnacentral:rRNA from 1 species